rnacentral:rRNA from 1 species
GACAGAGGGUGCAAACGUUGUUCGGAAUUACUGGGCCUAAAGAGCACGUAGGUGGUGCGCUAAGUCACGUGUGAAAUCCCCCGGCUCAACCGGGGAAUGGCGCGUGAUACUGGCGGACUCGAGGCGGGUAGGGGUGAGCGGAACUCCAGGUGGAGCGGUGAAAUUCGUAGAUAUUCGCAAGAACACCAGUGGCGAAGGCGGCUCACUGGCCCGGUACUGACGCUGAGGUGCGAAAGCGUGGGGAGCAAACAGG